GACGAACCAAGCAAACGUUGUUCGGAAUCACUGGGCAUAAAGGGCGCGUAGGCGGGCGAUUAAGUCUGUGGUGAAAUCCUCCAGCUUAACUGGAGAACUGCCUCGGAUACUGGUCGUCUAGAGGAAGAUAGGGGCGUACGGAACUAAGGGUGGAGCGGUGAAAUGCGUAGAUAUCCGGAGGAACUCCGGUGGCGAAGGCGGUACGCUGGAUCUUUUCUGACGCUGAGGCGCGAAAGCUAGGGGAGCAAACGGG
rnacentral:rRNA from 1 species